UAUUCAGAGCAAUGUUACAUUUUAAACAAGAGUAUACAUAUUAUAAAAGUUAUUUUAACCUCAAAGAAAAACAAAACGUUUUAUUUCAAGAAAAAAAUAAGGAAACAAUUAGUUUACAAGGUUACGAUUUAGAAAAGGAGUUUAGAUUAAAAAGGAGUUCAGAUUAUAAUUUCCAAAUAUUUUAAAUUAAGGGAAGAUCUGAAUUUUAUUAUAAAGAAAACCCAAAACCCUUAUUUAUAUCCCCUUCUCGCGUAGUGUUGUUUCCUAUUCUACUGUCGCCGUUUUCCUUCUCUACUCGUACCUUGUUCCUGCGAUCUCGCCACACCUACCAUUGCUGCCGAAUAAUCUGUACUCUCACCUUCUCGCCUUCUAUCGGUACCAAGUUCGUAGAAGGGAGAUUCUAGCUAGCUCGUUACCCUUAAUCUGUUUUCGUACUUCAAAAGGCAAUCUACAGGUUUGCAAAUAAGCAUGCAUGGGGAUAGAUUUUUGAAGUACCUUUUCCCUUUAAGUAUUACAUUAGUUUUGGAUUUUAAUUUGUUGCAACUGCUUAACUUAACUUAUUUCUUGUGUUGGAGUUUGGAUUUAAGAAGGGGCCUAUUGAGGUCUCCAUAUUGUAUUUGAAAUAUUCGUUUUAAGACUUCCGCUGUUUAUUUUCAAAGUUAGACUAUAAAAGGUAAACUGUUUUUUUUUUUAUUUAAUUAUUUCAUCUGCCUUAUACGUUCCAUCGUGGCAGUAACACCCCAAUGUUUCUCUACUCUCAAAUAUAAGGUGUUUUAAAUAGGGAGGAUUAUGGGGG